UAAAGACAUAUAAAUAUUCCGAUAAAUACUAUCAAAUGAUAAAAAUUCAAAGAAUUUGGCGGUGUCUUAUAUACUCAGGGGAACCUGUUGCUUAAUUCGAUAAUCCACGAAAUUCAAUCCCUUUUUAGAAUAAUCAGCUUGUGUACUGCUGUCGCCAGUAAACCUUUAAAAGUCAGUUUACAAAUAUAACAAAAGUUAUUAACGUCAAGUCAAAGUGCAGCCCAUAAAAGUGGAGCAAAAUGGGUUACAACCUUUAAUAAAGAUUACGAACUCUAAAAUUAUAAUAUAGAUGAAGGUGGACUUGAUAGUAAUAUUUAAAUAAAAAUAAUAUAAACAAUUAAUCUAAGACAUGCACACAUCGCCCGUCGCUCU
rnacentral:rRNA from 1 species